UCACGACCUGAGCCGAAGGCAGACGCUUAACUGACUGAGCCACCCAGGCGUCCCGAGGAGGGAUUGCUGAUUUCCACCUUGUUUUAUAUGUUGGAGCUGAAACCAGAAGUCUCAUUUGUGACCAUUUUUGAAACCCAGCACAGUCAUUAUAAACCGAUGAUUUGCAAAUAUCACGGGCCAAGGAGGAGAAAAACAUAUCAUUUGAAAUGCUGGGGAAGAAACUCAAGAAAUUCAGUCCAUCUCUGACAAACAGUCUGUGGUCCUUCUUAGUUCUUGCCUUCAGCUGAAAAAAUUGCAUUAAAACCCUUUACUACUACCCAUCCACCAUCCCUUAUCUGAAACCCUUGGGACCAGAUGUUGCAGAUUCAUAUACCAUACUUUCCAUAAGAGCCAUAAGCAGGGUCUGGAAUAGCACUGCUGAAUCUAAUAAGACAAUAUUUCCAUAGAGAAACACAAAUAUCCAUGCUGAGAAGGAUAAAUAAAGAC